CUUUUUUUCUUUGUAUACAACUUUGUACUCUUUUUUUUCUUCCAUGUAUGAGAUUCAGUUUUCCAUAAAAAAGAAUUUACAGAAAGAACUGCACAAGAGACCAGAUCACAGGAAAGCAGGAAGGACUUCUAGAACCAUCAUGCCCAGAUCCUGCUACUCCUUGUUGCUUAUGAGUUACAGAUGUUGAAACCUAUACCUAGAAAUGGAGAGACUUCAGCCCCUUUUUCCAGGCUCAGGUAGACUGUAGGUCAGCAGAUGUCAACUGCCUUUGGAAACAUGAGCCAACAGGUGAAGAAGCUGAAGCACAGAGAGGUGAAAUAAUUUGGCCAAGGCCACACAACUGGAAAGCAGGACUAAAGAAUGGCCAGGACUGAAGAUGGAGAACACAGGAUCAUGCACAGGGGGAACCACUGAUGACAGCUCCAAGGAAGAGAGAGAGAAAGGAACACAGGGUGAAUGAACCUGCACUCUUA